rnacentral:rRNA from 1 species
AUGCACGCUGGCGGCGUGCCUAAUCCAUGCCAGUCGAGCGAACGGACGAGAAGCUUGCUUCUCUGAUGUUAGCGGCGGACGGGUGAGUAACACGUGGAUAACCUACCUAUAAGACUGGGAUAACUUCGGGAAACCGGAGCUAAUACCGGAUGAUAUUUUGAACCGCAUGGUUCAAAAGUGAAAGACGGUCUUGCUGUCACUUAUAGAUGGAUCCGCGCUGCAUUAGCUAGUUGGUAAGGUAACGGCUUACCAAGGCAACGAUGCAUAGCCGACCUGAGAGGGUGAUCGGCCACACUGGAACUGAGACACGGUCCAGACUCCUACGGGAGGCAGCAGUAGGGAAUCUUCCGCAAUGGGCGAAAGCCUGACGGAGCAACGCCGCGUGAGUGAUGAAGGUCUUCGGAUCGUAAAACUCUGUUAUUAGGGAAGAACAUAUGUGUAAGUAACUGUGCACAUCUUGACGGUACCUAAUCAGAAAGCCACGGCUAACUACGUG